GCUCGCUCCUUGACGGCUGACCGACACUGGGUCUGAGGUGUAAGCGCUUUCCAGGCCCUUCCCUGGGGCUUGGAGGGGAAUGGCGCAAAGGACUUUUCUUACAAGCAGAGAGGUUGGACUCCUGAAAGCCUGGACAGUGUCAUCAUCUUCACCUGAAGAGUGGAAAAAUUCAAGCAAAGAGUUUCUCAGGAAAUGACCAAGUAAAACAUCUGGAGUAAGUCAGCAGGAUUCACAGUGACUCCCCCCAACCAGCUGGUGGUGUUUCUCUCUGAAAGCAGCGCUUGGUACCAGUGUGAACUCUCUUCCUUCAGAAGUCUCAUCAGGUGGACGUAAUACGAGGGUCUGGUCCCCCAUACCUUGAGGACUCCGCUGCCAUCUGACAAUUACAGACAAUCCAAUUGUCCUCAUCCUUGAGGACUCUGCUGCCAUCUGACAAUUAGAGACAGUCCAAAACAUGCCACACUUUGAUCCUAAACACAUUCCUGGCUUUGGUCACUUUUGAAAAGUUCCUGAGUUAUGAGAAAUCAAUAAUAAGAGUGUUCAAAACCUGAACACUCUUUUUAGAAAUACCUGCUGGAACUACAUAUAUGAUUUAUGGGGUACUGUCUUGUAGUAUCUGGGAAAGUAGACCCAUCUAACCUGGAAUGAUCAUAGGCAACAAUGACCAAAAAUGGGGAUCUUUUGAUAUACCUAAAGUAAUUUAUUUGUGCACACCAUUGGAAAGAGCUGGUUUUAGAACCAGACAUGUAAAUAAGAGACUGACUUCCACUGGCACCUAAAAACUUCUAAAAGAAAUCCUGAAAGAAAAAGUCACCUUCAUUCAAGAGGUAAACAAAGGGAUAUUUGAAACUAUGUUAAAAGACUUCAGAGGCUUUCUCCCUUUCACCUCCAGACCCUCCUUUUCCUUCCAGCCCUGUGAUCUGAACUCAUCCCUUUCUGCCGCUUCUCUUGGCUUCCAUACAUCUCUUAGGCAGAGAUGUUUUAAAAUUUCACAAUGUACACAUUUCCUUCUCUCAGGGGAAAUGAAUUUAAAUUUAGAGCAGAAGGAACAAGCAGAACAACAACAGAAUGGGAAUAAGACUGCUGAGACUAUAAAAAUGCAGAUCCAACAAAAUUUUUUCUCACCAGGUCUAGUGAAUGACACUGUGAUAUGGUCUGGCUCUGUGUUCCCAACAAAAUGUCAUCUCGAAUUGUAAUCCCCACGUGUCGGGGGAGAAGCCUGGUGGGAGAUGAUUGGAUCAUGGAGGCAGUUUCCCCCAUGCUGUUUUCAUGAUAGGGAGGGAGUUCUUACGAGAUGUGAUGGUUUAAAAGUGUUUGGCAGUGGCCGGGCGCGGUGGCUCACGCCUGUA
rnacentral:lncRNA from 1 species